UCCGUGCCAUUAAUUUGCACAUCAAUAUAUUUUUUCUAACUGUUUUUUUUCAUGAGUACUUUCACAUAGAACGUGAAUACUACGCGGCAAAAAAGCGACACACUUUUUUUCGGGAACGUGGUUGAUUUUCUGAGCUUUUGCAUGUUGAAUUAAGGCAUCGACCAAUCACGUUGAGCAGAAUGGGUUGAGUUGCGCCUAUAUUUAUGAAACAACAACACGAAGGCGCCAUGGUCCAAAGCAGGACGGCUAACUUAUUACUCCUUUCAACCUUGACAAAGGUAACGCAGACCAGAUCCACUCCUUCCGUUCUUACCUUUCACAAUAAAAGCCCUGGACAUAUAACAUUCGCAGGCGAGUUUUUCGCAUUUUUGUGUCGUUUAUUUGUCAUGCCAACGGUGUGUAAAGGCCUUUAGACUGAGACCUAGUCUCACCCGGAGGUU